AAACGCUUGAAGUCAGUCGCAUCGACCGAGACUCAGCCUUGCCUCGGCUUGGUGUACUUCUCGGCUGAUGGGUCAGCAUCGAUUUCGACCCUUGGAUAAUGGUGGGGGAAAGGUGGCACCUUUACCGGUGUGUUAUAGCCUUUACUUGCAUACAGUGGUUGGGAUUGAGGAACUCAGCACGCCGCAAGGCCGGGUUUCGACCACGUUCGUGCUUAGGAUGCUGGCAUAAUGGCUUUAAUCGA
rnacentral:rRNA from 1 species